rnacentral:lncRNA from 1 species
UUGGUAAGUGUGUGUGUGCGCAGGAGCGAUCAGAAGAACAGGGGGUUCUUUCAAAACCCUAAAGCACAUGAAAUCCAGCAAAAUCAAGGAGAAAUCGAGCAAAGAAAUUAGGGCUUUAACUAAAAUCGUGAUCACCAAGCUAAGGGGAUCGAAAGUUUGACGCCUAACAAGCUAGGUGGAAGCUUGUGGAUGAAGCGGGUCAAACGGAGCGCGUACGGAAAGAAAGGCGUGGCAUGGAUGCAAGGUAAGUAUAGCUUACACUAGUCUUAUAUGUUAGGAUAUUCUCUUAUCGUAAUAGUUAUGAAUGAGAUAAAUACAUAAUUGAGGUAUGAUGUUCCGGCGUGUAAACGUACGGGACAAAGUAGUCAAUCAUUACAAGAAACCAUGUGGAUGGUUAAAAGGAGUUAAAUCGGUAAAUUGGUCAUGCGUUGACCAUAACUAUUGGUUUUGAAAGACACAGUAAAACAUAAACCAUGAUAGGCUAAAAAGUGUUAAGAAAUGAUUAAUAAGUGAAAUGACCGCACGAUGUAAACCGGAGCGAGUCAUGUAGAUGAGAUGGUAAUAAAUAUCAUCUCGUCAACAUAUUCGGUCACUUAGACCAAAUGGGUUAAAAAGGUGAAGAUAUCACCCUUUGACAAUAACGACUAAUGAUUUUUGUCGAGUUAUAUUAUUUCAGGUGUAAAUGUCAAAUGGGUAUUAGCAACGCUAUGAAUUAGCGGUUAUAAAAGCAAGGUAUUAAAAACGGGUCAAUAUAUUGAUCUGCGCCAGGUAUGUGAAAAAGGGUAACCCUCAUUUAGAACAUGUGGUUCAAAGAGUGUUAAAAGUAGUCAAGGUGAACAUUUGGUUACUUGAUAAGUAAACCAAAUGUUUUAGGUAAGGAACAUUGUAUUUGGAAAGCUUAAUGACUUUUCAAACAAAAUCAUAGGUUAAAAGAGGGAUUACGGGUCAAAAUAAGCAUACGAGUGAAAACGGGUUUUAAAUUGUGUAAUUAAACUUGUGAUUAUAACCUAAUAUGGUAAAUAACCUUAAUUUGAAGUAGUGUACGUGAUAUAAAGGUUAAACAAGUAUGUUUGUUUGAUAAACGUAUAAACGGGGCAAAAUUUUGGUAAAAAAGUAAUAAGCCGAAGACUUAAAAGUCUUAAAUUUUAUUAAUCCGGAUGUUGGAUUUUAACUCCAUAUGAUGGAAGAUUAAAUUACAAUCAUGUAGGAAGAAACGGUAGAUCAAACGGAUAAGCGGUUUGAAAGAUACGAAAGUUUUCGUAUCGAAUAACGGCAAAAAUAGAGAAGCUGGAUGCAGAGUCCACCGUAAUUUACGGUCCCACCGUAAAUUACGGUGGAGAUGAAUUGGUUACGGUGCUAAUUGUCUGUUGUACGGUAGAAGAAUAGAAACCCAGGGGCCAUCGUAAUUUACGGUCCCACCGUAAAUUACGGUGGAGAUUAUUUUUUUUAUAUUUUGUUUUCAUUUGAAAAUCAAUUGUUUCCCGGACAUCGUUCGGACAUGAUUUAAACCCCGUAUGACUAAAGCAUUUCAUGUUUAUGAAAUGUAGGUACACCUUGGACGCCGGAAGACGAUCAAGCUCAGCGAAGAACCGAACACGAUAAUGAUACACGCUUCCGCACCUUGCUACGUUGUAAUUUUUAAACAACGAAUUCGAUCACGUUAUGUAGAAUAACUUAUGAUUUAUAAAAGUUUUAAUAAACCCGUAUUUCCAAAUGUUUAUGUAAUCUUAAAUUACAUGAUUGUUUUACGUAAAAUUUACGUUAAACCUUGAAUAAUAAGACCGGGUGUUAC